rnacentral:rRNA from 1 species
CACCCAACAGCUAGCCGGCCAAAUCAAACCCACCUUCCCCUUAUAUUUAAACCCAAAAGCACCACAAAACAAAAACAAACCAUUUUUCCCCCUUAGUAUGGGAGACAGAAAAGAACC